rnacentral:tRNA from 1 species
GAAUGGAAAGUAAAAAAUUACAAUCAGUUUCGACCUGAUCUUUGGCAUAAAAGUGUCUCCACUUA